UACAGAGGUCUCGAGCGUUAGGCGGAAUCACUGGGCUUAAAGCGUGUGUAGGCGGAUCGUUAAGUGCCUUGUGAAAUCCCACGGCUCAACCGUGGAACUGCUUGGCAUACUGGCGGUCUUGAGCAACCUAGGGGCGAGCGGAACAAAUGGUGGAGCGGUGAAAUGCGUAGAUAUCAUUUGGAACGCCAAUGGUGAAAACAGCUCGCUGGGGGUUUGCUGACGCUGAGACGCGAAAGCGUGGGGAGCAAACAGG
rnacentral:rRNA from 1 species